CCACUUUGACAAUAUUUACUUAAGUAUUUCCCCCCACCUCACUCACACACAUGCUCCCCCACACUGGUUCCCUUAAAUAGUUCCAGUAGAAUUUUUUUUUUCCCUUAAGAAAGGAAAGAGAAAGUCCAACCACUACGGCAAUACUUUUAAGCUCUACUAAAUGAUCGUAUCCUUUCUGGCUUCGAAACUUUUGUACCUAAAAAUCGAGAGAGGCGCUGCAUUUUUUCAGUUGAAACUGUCAAAACUUGGAGAAGGGGGACCUCGGAGGCAGGCAGGAGAGGAGGAGAAUCCUGAAAACUCGGUGGAGGUUGGGAAGAUGCUGUGCCUCGAGGAUUAGUUUAAACAGGGGGCUAUAAAAGAUGUAACAGAUGCAAACUGUAACACAAGGGCCAUUAACCCUUUCUCUGCCGGGCACACUCAGUCCCCACGCCCCACACCUAUUGUCUCCUGUGCUAGAAGCUUUGCAGAAAACCUGGAAAACUCACAUCCCCACUCAAAAUGAGAAAAUUAGAAAAGGAGGAUGGAGGACGAGCACACCAAAAAGGGAUAAAAAGAGAGAAAAGGGGAGGAAAAAAAACCUACCUGCGAAGUCUUGUUUGUAGUUUUGGCCAGAAAUGGUGAGAAGAAAAAGCAUGAAGAAGCCGCGAAGUGUGGGGGAGAAAAAGGUGGAAGCGAAGAAACAGCUCCCGGAGCAAACUGUACAAAAACCUCGCCAAGAGUGUCGGGAGGCAGGACCGUUAUUCCUGCAGAGCAGGAGAGAGACGAGAGACCCUGAAACACGCGCCACCUAUCUUUGUGGGGAGGGAUAAUUGAAGCGCCCUGAGCGUACCAGAGCCAGAAAAAAAAAUGCUGCAUGGGAGCUGCAUCUUAGGGCAUGUGUAUUAGGGUGUGUGCAUGAUGAAUUUCUGGACUGGAUCCCAAUAUUAAAAAGUAGUUUGGCAUUUUAAUAAAGGGUCUCUAAGUAAAUUAAAAUAGAACACUCGGUUGGCCGAUCUCUGAAUCUCUCUACACCUCGGGGAGACCUCACUACAAAGUAAGGGAGAGUGUGUAGGGAGGCAGGAGGAGAAACGAGAAAGGCCAUAGAGAAACUUAGCAGGGAAGGGAGAGCAUGAUAUUAAACGGCAUGGGGUCUAAGUUUUGGAGUAUAUAUUUUUUGAUAUUACAAUUAAAGUAAGAUUAAAAAGAAAAGACUCCACCUUUGCUCUGAAGGGAUUGGUUAUGCAAAUAUGGAAGGGAUUUCCUGGAGAAUACAGCUUUCUACUGUAUGGUUAAUUAAAUAAUCACUCAAAAGCUUCCAACGUGACGCUUCUGUCGUAAUCCAAUCAGGUUACAUAGGUCCUAAACAAGAAAGAUAUUUUCCACAUCUGGAAGUCAGCAAUUUAGCAAGUACUGCACAUUAUUAACCAAUUCAGAGCCCACUUCCCAGGGGAAUUUUUUUGAAGUUUAAGUGUUCUUAACCAAUGCUCUGCUGUUUUGUUAAUCAAAAAGCUGGUUUACACUGCACAUAAUUGGAACUAAUAUAGAAGUAAAUAAAGACAGCCAAAUUUGA
rnacentral:lncRNA from 1 species